UAAAACGUCCGUUAUCCGGGCGCACACGGAAAUCGGACACACUACAAAUCCUAACUGCCGUUAAGACAAUGACGUCCGUUAUCUCUGCUAGUGUGUCCGGGGUAUAAUUUUGUAGAAGGUUUGAAUAAAGCUCUUGAUAAGAAUUACGGAUACAUCGCAGAAGAACCGGGUAUGAAGACAACUGCCAUUAAUAUAAACGAAGCACUUUUUGUGUUUUCUAAAGAUUCUUUAGUCAUGUUUGCGGGUACUUUUGGUGUAAGACAUAAUUUUCCACUGAGGAAGAAGUUCAAUCGCAUCACAUCAAGAUUGUUCGAAGCGGGAAUAAUCGAUCAAUUCGAAAGAGAUAUCAAUGAGAAAAUCAGACGUGGUUCCAUAUCAAAAUUAAUUCCAGAAGAGAUUUUUUAAACCAGUCACUUUAUAGGAUUUGCUUGGAGUUAUCAUAUUGUUGGGAAGUGGUUAUAUUUUCGCCUCGCUGUGCUUGAUCUUUGAGAUAUGUGUUUUUCGUCGAAAAGAGUAUGCCUGAAACUAUAAUUUUAUUGAUAUCUAUGGAUUUUUUUGUUUUUUUUUUUUUAAUUUGCAAAAAAUUAUGGCAUUGUUACAUGUAGAUCUAUCAUUUGUGGCUGUAGCGACGGUGGAUUACGGACGAGACAGAAAGCGAGAAAAUGAAGAGGAUUUACAGAUUAAAUUUGAUUUAUUUGGUACUCGUCAACUUGCAAUUUGUUACAGAUGGCUGGAGUAACCAAGGGAAUAAAUCUCUUAAUACUAAGAAACGAUUAAUUUUUAAAGUAGCUGCACUCCAGUCUCCGCCAUUUACUUUUAUUGACAACGAUAAAAAACUCGUCGAAGGAGUCGAUUAUCGAAUUAUGGAGUUACUUAAGGAGAGAUUGCAUUUUAAUUACGAAGUUGUAAUUCCUCCCG
rnacentral:lncRNA from 1 species